UUCCCUCAGAGAGGAGAUGAGGCUCCUCGUGUAGGUCUUCCCUUCCCCCUGGCAGGGCAGGCACUAUCAGCAUCCCAGGCAGAACCAGAAUUAAAAGUGGACUUGCCAUAGCAUAAAGGUGAAGAGUGGAAUAGCUCCUGGUUCUGCCAUGCUGGGAGGUGUGCUGGAGGAGGAUUGCUUUGUUCCUGGCCAAUGGACUAAAGAAAACAUAGAGAAAAAGGUGCACACAGUCAUCAUUGUCGUCAGCAACUGGAGAUGGAGUAGAAGAAUGUAAUGGAGCACACAUCUGGCAGCAUGACAUCCUUCCUAUGGGGUGCAAUGUGCCCUCCGAGCACGGAAUCAUCACUGUGGAUUCCUGCUUCAGUCCUGUGGGCAUGAGUUGUACUGUGUGCACUGAGGAAAGCCAGAAAGGAGCACGGUGUCAUCACCUGAGGGGAAACAAAAAUCAGAAACGAGGAGGGGAAAUUUUGGUGCUUAUUUUUAGACUCUGUGGUGAAUACAGUGAGCGGAAGGAAAGAAGAUACCAUCUUAUCAAAGGAUCUUCUGAUUUCCUUUAUAAACAGCUAAGAAGAAGCUUUACCACUUCCCUCACUCAGUAUUAAGCAAAGGACUUUUGGAAGGACAACAGAUGAUACGUCUACCAGAAUCCUCUUUGACUGUCUUAGGAUGUGUCUUUAGUUUAAGUGUCAAUAAAAACAAAUACUGAUUUAAAGCCAGAUGUUUCUAAUUAGUCUGCAGUGUUGUAUUUUAAUCUGAUGUGGGGAAAGAAGACUUUGGUCUUUGAUUCAGGAAACCUGCUUUUGUCACUGACCCUGAAGCUGUCCUUGUGGCUGACUUCAUGUGAGUCAUUGCAUCUCUAUGCCACUCUCACACUUCUCAAACUCAUCAGCAUCACCUUACACAAUAAAGGUAAAUUAUUCGACAAGAUAUCACUGCAAUUAAAUUCAAUAAUUGGCAGAAAUUUACAGUCAGAUCAUUCUAAAUAAGGACCAAGUGCAGUGGACACGUUAAAGCUAUUCUGGUAACUUAUACUGUAAAUUGUUUUAUUGUGCAGUAGCAAUUUCAGAAAAUUCUUAGGGCAAAAAAUGGACAAUUAGUCUUGUUUUGAAUGUUGCAACGGAGAUGAAAAUAUAGAAAAGAGAAAUUAUUUCCAUUAUAAAAUGUCAGGAGUGUAUGGCUAUAAUGAUCCUUAAGAGGAGAUACUGCAAGAAAUAGACUGGAUUAAAUUCUUGCAAACAUUCAUGGAGUAAAAAUAUCAUUAAAACAUUCUAAGAGCCAUGUGAUCAGAAAGUGUAAAAGCAGUGCUCUGGAAAUGAAUGUUUUCCCAAGAAAGCUUUCCAUUAAGAGCAUGGGAGACUGCACUAUUUCUUGUGCUAAAAAAUAAAAGUUACAUUCCAACUUUAAAGAGACAGUGCUUCCAUAGAACUUGCACACACAAGAUUAUGAAAGAAAAUAAGUUUAGGACUUGGUCUGUAUUUUUUUUUCAAGUGUGCACUUAGCACUCCUUUUGUGUUUUUCCAUGUGGAUGAUAAAAUGUAGAUGGAGCAGUUUCACAAUUGCUUCCAUUUGAUUUCUUUUUUUCUGAUUUGUAUGCACUUGUGGAAUUGCUGCUAUUGGAAAAAUAGUAAUGAAAUCACUCUCAGGAAUGGAGUGCACAACAUAUUUUGUUGACAUUUUGAUAUGUAUGUCAAGUAAUCCUUUUCUUGUCUAAGCUUUUGUAAGCUCACUUUUGGUGAGGACUGUUGUGCUCAGUGCCUAGCAAAUGAAAUGAGAAACUUUAAUUGCUAUUUUGAAUCGAGUGUGUGCUAGUAGCAAUGUAAUGGUUGCUUCCUAUAGGGUUAUUUUUAAAUGACCCAUAAAUAAACACUUACAUGGUCUCAG